AGCAGCCGCGGUAAUUCCAGCUCCAAUAGCGUAUAUUAAAGUUGCUGCAGUUAAAAAGCUCGUAGUUGAAUUUCGGGAUCGAUAUAUCGGUCGUGCCUCGGUACGUACUGGUAUUUUCGGUUUCUCCCUUCUGACGAACCUUGAUGUCAUUAAUUUGGUGUCUUGGGGAAUCAGGACUGUUACUUUGAAAAAAUUAGAGUGUUUAAAGCAGGCUCACGCUUGAAUACAUUAGCAUGGAAUAAUGAAAUAGGACGUUUGAUUCUAUUUUGUUAGUUUCUAGGAUCGACGUAAUGAUUAAUAGGGAUAGUUGGGGGCAUUAGUAUUCAAUUGUCAGAGGUGAAAUUCUUGGAUUUAUUGAAGACUAACUACUGCGAAAGCAUUUGCCAAGGAUGUUUUCAUUAAUCAAGAACGAAAGUUAGGGAUCGAAGACGAUCAGAUACCGUCGUAGUCUUAACCAUAAACUAUGACCGACUAGGGAUCGGAUGAUGUUAAUUUUUAAUGAUCAUUCGGCGCCUUACGG
rnacentral:rRNA from 1 species